UCCUCGGUAGCUCAGUUGGUAGAGCGCAGCACUGUUAAUGCUGAUGUCCCUGGUUCAAGCCCAGGUCGAGGAGCCA
rnacentral:tRNA from 1 species